UAAUAUAUACUUUUAGGGAUCAUUUCUAUAGUUGGUGACUAGAGAAGUGUGUCCAAAAGUGACCUGGUCUUCUGGAUCAGGAUGUACUACAGAUGUUGGUUCAGA
rnacentral:snoRNA from 1 species